AGUAAAUUCCAUAAACAAAAUACAUUUGAAAAGUAGCAAAAACAAAUAAUGAAGGCACGAAAUGUUUCCAAGACCAUUGUAAUUAGAUAUUUUUAAUAAAAAUCCAUUGUAACUAGAAAAACAAACAAAUAUGGAAGAAUAUAAAGACCUUGCGUCUUGAACUUUUGAACAUAAAACUGAAUAAAAAUAUAAAAGAAACAGAAGUGACUGAAGAUCUUUCUGCUAUAGUUUGGAUGGUGUAAAAUAUAGAGCAAUGGUGUCCUCCAGUGUUCAUUAACCGAAGCACUCGGUAUUUACAGCUGAUUGUAAUUGUCAGUGUACUUCCGGGCACAAGUGCAGAGAUGCGUCUUGCAUCUGUUCAUUCAUAACUACGUUAGUUUUUAAUUAUGUACCAUCAACCUGUACUGAAAAACAGACGGACUCUACUGGAGCGAGUAGAGACUUCACAGACUUCAACCUUACAGCAAAAAUGUUUGGAGACACUCACUCAGUUGAGUCCAUCUCUGUGUUCCUGUCAGAGAGGCCAUACAGCAAAACCUUCAUCCUUGUGACGUUGAUGGUGGAUGUGCUGGUUAAAAGUGGUCUUAAAGAUCCCAGAAGCCUGGAGAGGAAAGGAGGUCCACCUGAGAUGGGAAAGCGAUGGAGAAUUUGGUUCAGUCUGAGUGUUUUUAUCUCAAUUUUCAGCAUUACCCUAUAUGUGGAACUUGCAUGUAAUGGACCCCGACCCAAACAGGAAGUUUACUCUCCUGAAAGCCGAGCUUGUUGUUUUCACUCGAGCCGUCAGAGAGCUUCUCACUGACUUUGAGAUGCGUGUGGAUAUUGUCAAGAUACUAGGAUUCCAGGCCUUAUUUACAGCCAAUGAAUCUGGUGAACCUGUGCGAUCCAGCCAAUCACAGUUGAUUUGCUGCUGCUCAAAGUCUAACCCAGAAGUUUUUUUGCCCAGAAAAAUGGGGAGAGUCAACACGUGGUCCAUGCAAUGGGUCACUGCCAUAUUGACUCAGGUAAUAAUCAAGUGUCCUCAAAAAUAUUAAUCUGCAUAUUAGAAUUAUUCCUAAAGGAUAAUGUGACAAUGAAUACUGGGGUAAUGUUGCUGAAAAUUCAGCUUUGCAUCACAGAAAUAAAUUACAUUUUAAAAUAUAUUUAAAUAAAAAACAGUUGUUUAAAAUAGUAAUAUUUUACAAUAUUUCAUUUUUGCUGUGUUUUUUGGUCAAGUAAAUUCAGCCUAGGUGAGCAUAAGAGGCUUCUUUCAAAAACAUGACAUAAGUCUUACUAACCCCACUAUUUUGAAUGGUAGGGAGCAUUGGAAAUCUUAGAUCUUGG